rnacentral:misc_RNA from 1 species
AAGUUGCCUAGAUAAUAAUUUUACCUUUAGAUUUUAAAAAAGAUAAAUUCACUCUAAUUUUUAAAAUAACAAAGCUACAGUCUACAAAUUUGAUAUCUUACGCUGUUGUAAGACGGAUACAACACCUGCGGGUAUCACGUCCUUUAAUAUGAUUUAACUUAUAUUUUUUAAAAAUCGUUAUUGAUUUCGUUAGAUUAAUACCUAGUUAUGUUAUUAAAACAAAAAUAACUUGAUUUAAUAAAUUUCGAUUGGAACAUUUAUAAUGCCUUUUUUUAUGACGAUCUGUAAAUAUCAGGAGUUUUGUAAAACUUUGUUAAUAGCAACAUUAUACCUAGAGGAUAACACAAUUUUACCUGUUUCCAAAAAUCGAGAUAUUGAUCUAUAUUUAUUUAAGUACCUACUACCUACAUAACAUUUUACCAUGAUUUUCGACGGUCUGUAUAUACUUAAUUCCUUAGAUUUGUAGCUUGUCUGCAACUUUUAUUAUUUCCGAUUUCGGGAAAAACAAUAAUUUACCUAUAGUUUAUGACGUAGUCAUAUAUAGAUACUGUCAAUUGUUUUUACGGAGUUUUAAUUAUUAAGUGAAUUAUGAGCAUUUUCAAAUAUUAAUGUUUUACAUACUCAUAUAACUGACUUAAAAAUUUAGAUAUCGUGAAAAUCCAUCGAGAGAACCAGAGAACACAAAAAUUUUGAUAUUGGUCAAUUCACUCUAAUAUCAAAACCAACAACUCACUAUUGUAACCGGUGAACCGUGAACGAAAAUUUACUAUGCCGUACGUCGGAGUCUCGGAGAUAAUACAGGCGGGUAUGAUGCCCUAUGCCCGCAUCGGCCGCAUCCAGUUAGGGCACUAUAGAUACAGGUAUGCUACGCCGCCAUUUUGCGACUAAUAAUGUUAUGUGAAUUUGAAUUUCUCCCUCUUUAUUUUAUCAUUUUAUCAUUGAUAAAUGAGUCGCAAAAUGGUGGCAUAGCACACCCAUUCUAUGUAGAGCCUUAAUCCAGUCAGUAUAGCAGUGAUCCCUAUCACCCAUAAAAAUACAUUGUCAUGCUAUCACCUAUGUGGUUGCUAUAUGAGAUUUGAGUAGUAUGAUAUUAGUAGUAUAUAGUAUGUAAUAUGAUAGGAAUAGUGAUUCUCGAAUCUCGAUCACACGGCCAAAAAUAUGGCCAACAUUUCAAUCAUGUGUCUCUAUAUUGGAAUCACACCUUCAUUAAUCAUUAGUAAUUAGUAAUUACAAUUACCAUCAUGCUAUAAAUACAUUUAAAAAUUUUUACUUUGGUAAAUUAUAAUUAUUAUUUAUUGAAAACUAAGUGCACGUUUUUAUAUGUUUUUUUAUUACCUAAUUAAAAAAUUGUUUGUGCAAUAAUAUUGUGCUUCACUUUUAGGUACUGGCCGAUAAAAAAAACUCGAUUAAUUAAUUUUUGUUUACAAUCUUUAUGUUUACUAUUGAUUUUGUAAGAGUAUAAUAUUCUUUAUAUAAUCUAACAUUUUAUUAAACGUUUCAAUCAAUAUUUAUUUUAAUGAUAUUUUAUAUUUAUUUUAGAUAUGACAUCAUUAAUCAUGCCAUGUUUUUGUCCAGGUUUAACAUGUUUUGCAUGCUACGUACGAGCAGUUUUUAGAGCGAUCAUUUUAAUACCAAAUCCUGAUGAGCAAUCAAUUACCGAUUAUAUCAUGACGAAACUCAUAUGGCGCUGGAAGAACAUAGCCCUGACGUCACAGAAGCAGCAUCAACAGGCACAAGCAGUAGCGUUCGUAACGACAGUCCUCGUCAUGUGAAUGACAAUCGACACGUCGUCGCUCGCUCGAAUUUUGUGUGCGAGGUAUGCAAUAGACCGUGUUUGUCUGCGGCUGGACUCGUAAGCCAUCGCCGUGUUCACCGAUCGUGAUUUCCUUCACCUGUAGAAAGCCUAGAUUUGUGUAUCUACCAUUCAAGGAAUGUCCUUUAGCGAUACCAUACGAAAACCAACCUUUUCCCAAUAAAUUGUUAAUCCGAUGAUGAUUUUGAAAAUAUUGAUGCGACUAAAACGAAAUUAAAAAGAGCGAGUAGUUUUUAAUUUGGAUGCAAGUACGUUCCUCAUAUAGUCAUAUAGUUGUGGGCUAAACUGCUGAAGAAACUGUUUAAAAAACCAAAAAUCUUACUCAACAAAUUCAUCUGCUUUAUAUUUUACCUAGGUACAAUAUAAAAGGUCGAUCAUCAAUUGAAAAAAAUAUGAAAAUAAUUAUAUGACUUGAAGAAUCUGAAAAAUAUUUUCUCAGUUCAGCGGCUGCAGUGAGUUGUUUGACUCACAGAUAGAUUAUAAUAUGUACUAUGUAUAACUGAUUUCUAUAAUAAUAUAUUCCUUAUUUCAUAUAAAAUUAAAUCAUUUUCACAUCUUAGUGAUUGUAAACUACAAUACAAUAAUAAUUUGCGCUACCAUUUCUGCUGAUAAUUUCCCUAUACACCACAGGCAAUGCGGGAAUAAAAAAAAAUAAUAGGUACUUUUACUCAGUUUAUUAUAAUAACUGUAACAACUAACAAUGCAGUUUAGUGGCAUUAGUGAAAGUAUUUUUGAACCGAUUUGUUAACACAUUAAACACAUGUAGGUACACAAUUGUUUCUUCGGUGUACACUGUAGUACAUGUCACUUGCACUAAAAUACCUGCAGGUACGUACUAUAACACAUUAACACGCUAUUACACGCUAGAUACAUUAUUGCAAUUUUCAAAGACUUUACAAUUUCAAGCUCGCAAUCAUUUUUCAGACAUCGUCGAUAUGAACGCAUUCCAGUACACGAUUGUUGUGGUUUCCGUCUGGCUGCAGCUGUUCGCAUGCUUCAUCGAUGGAAGCCCAGUGAAAUCGAAUAAACCCAAUGUGGCGGCGCAACGACGCAGCGGAAACG